rnacentral:rRNA from 1 species
CCUACGUGUGGCAGCAGUGAGGACUAUUGGUCAAUGGACGCAAGUCUGAACCAGCCAAGCCGCGUGCAGGAUUACUGCCCUAUGGGUUGUAAACUUCUUUUGUACGAUGGUAAACCCCGAUACGUGUACCCGAUUGAAAGUACAGUAUGCAUAAGUAUCGGCUAACUCCGUGCCAGCAGCAGCGGUAAUACGGAGGAACCGAGCGUUAUCCGGAUUUAUUGGGUUUAAAGGGUGCGUAGGUGGAUUGAUAAGUGAGGUGUGAAAUGUCGCGGCUCAACCGUGAAACUGCCGUUGAUCCUGGUGGACUUGAGAAUAGUAGAGGUAGGCGGAAUGUGUGGUGUAGCGGGGAAAUGCUUAGAGAUCAUGCAGAACGCCGAUUGCGAAGGCAGCUUACCGAACUGUAACUGACACUGAGGCACGAAAGCGUGGGUAGCAAACAGGAUUAGAUACCCCUGUAGGC